rnacentral:rRNA from 1 species
GACGAACGCUGGCGGCGUGCCUAAUACAUGCAAGUCGAGCGAGACUCUUCGGAGUCUAGCGGCGGACGGGUGAGUAACACGUGGGCAACCUGCCUGUAAGACUGGGAUAACACCGGGAAACCGGUGCUAAUACCGGAUAAUCCUUUUCCUCACAUGAGGAAAAGCUGAAAGUCGGUUUCGGCUGACACUUACAGAUGGGCCCGCGGCGCAUUAGCUAGUUGGUGAGGUAACGGCUCACCAAGGCGACGAUGCGUAGCCGACCUGAGAGGGUGAUCGGCCACACUGGGACUGAGACACGGCCCAGACUCCUACGGGAGGCAGCAGUAGGGAAUCUUCCACAAUGGACGAAAGUCUGAUGGAGCAACGCCGCGUGAGCGAUGAAGGCCUUCGGGUCGUAAAGCUCUGUUGUUAGGGAAGAACAAGUACCGGAGUAACUGCCGGUACCUUGACGGUACCUAACCAGAAAGCCACGGCUAACUACGUGCCAGCAGCCGCAGUAAGAC